rnacentral:pre_miRNA from 1 species
CCCUUUACUAUUAAAAGUUUUGUUUUGGUCCCUUAACUUAUUUUUUAGUUUCGUUUUGGUCACUUAACUUAUUUUUUGAUUUCAUUUUGGUCCUUAACUCUAAUACAUUCAUCCUAACAUAAAGGACCAAAGUGGUUGACGGAGGAAGAGUUAAGGGACCAAAACGAAACCAAAAAAUAAGUUAAGGGACCAAAACGAAACCAAAAAAUAAGUUAAGGGACCAAAACGAAACUUUUAAUAGUUAAGGGA